UACGUAGGUGGCGAGCGUUGUCCGGAUUUAUUGGGCGUAAAGCGCCCGCAGGCGGCUCGAUAAGUUUCAGGUGAAAUCUCCUGGCUCAACUGGGAGGGGUCCUGGAAAACUGUCAGGCUUGAGGCAGGGAGAGGGAUGCGGAAUUCCCGGUGUAGUAGUGAAAUGCGUAGAUAUCAGGAGGAACACCGGCGGUGUAGACGGCUUUCUGGACCGUAGCUGACGCUGAGACACGAAAGCGUGGGUAGCAAACAGG
rnacentral:rRNA from 1 species